CGGAAGAGGGAAAGGCUUAGUGGCGGACGGGUGAGUAACGCGUGGGUAACCUGGCCCAUACAGGGGGAUAACACUUAGAAAUAGGUGCUAAUACCGCAUAACAACAGAAAGCGCAUGCUUUUUGUUUGAAAACCAAGGUGGUAUGGGAUGGACCCGCGUCUGAUUAGCUGGUUGGCGGGGUAAAGGCCCACCAAGGCGACGAUCAGUAGCCGGCCUGAGAGGGUGGACGGCCACAUUGGGACUGAGACACGGCCCAAACUCCUACGGAAGGCAGCAG
rnacentral:rRNA from 1 species